GACGAACGCUGGCGGCGUGCUUAACACAUGCAAGUCGAACGGUGAAGCCCUUCGGGGUGGAUCAGUGGCGAACGGGUGAGUAACACGUGGGUAACCUGCCCCUCACUCUGGGAUAACUCCGGGAAACCGGGGCUAAUACCGGAUACGACCUCCUUGGGCAUCCUUGGAGGUGGAAAGUUUUUCGGUGAGGGAUGGACCCGCGGCCUAUCAGCUUGUUGGUGGGGUAAUGGCCUACCAAGGCUUUGACGGGUAGCCGGCCUGAGAGGGCGACCGGCCA
rnacentral:rRNA from 1 species